rnacentral:misc_RNA from 1 species
AAGGAGUCUAACAUCUAUGCGAGUGUUUGGGUGUCAGGCCCGGGCGCGUAAUGAAAGUGAACGGAGGUGGGAACCCUCUCGGGGGCGCACCAUCGACCGAUCCUGAUGUCUUCGGAUGGAUUUGAGUAAGAGCAUAGCUGUUGGGACCCGAAAGAUGGUGAACUAUGCUUGAAUAGGGUGAAGCCAGAGGAAACUCUGGUGGAGGCUCGCAGCGGUUCUGACGUGCAAAUCGAUCGUCAAAUUUGGGCAUAGGGGCGAAAGACUAAUCGAACUAUCUAGUAGCUGGUUCCUGC